rnacentral:rRNA from 1 species
AUUGAACGCUGGCGGCAUGCCUUACACAUGCAAGUCGAACGGCAGCACGGGAGCAAUCCUGGUGGCGAGUGGCGAACGGGUGAGUAAUAUAUCGGAACGUGCCCAGUCGUGGGGAUAACGUAGCGAAAGCUACGCUAAUACCGCAUACGAUCUACGGAUGAAAGCGGGGGAUCGCAAGACCUCGCGCGAUUGGAGCGGCCGAUAUCAGAUUAGGUAGUUGGUGAGGUAAAGGCUCACCAAGCCGACGAUCUGUAGCUGGUCUGAGAGGACGACCAGCCACACUGGGACUGAGACACGGCCCAGACUCCUACGGGAGGCGGCAGUGGGGAAUUUUGGACAAUGGGCGCAAGCCUGAUCCAGCAAUGCCGCGUGCAGGAUGAAGGCCUUCGG